GGGGGCGAAACGGCUUCGACGGGGAUAUAGAAGCUAUGGUUGCAUACCGAGUUCCUGCCAGCUCGUAAAACCGGCGGGAAAUAAACAUAAUCGCAGACGAUUAUAACUACGCUCUGGCCGCUUAAGGCCAGCGUUCUGCCGGAUUAUUCCUGCGCAUCCGGUAAGAGCGUCGACUAGCGGGAUAAACUUGUUUUGGAUGUUUGCUCCGAUUCAGGUGAAAUUUUGCAGACUAGUCUUUAAAGUAUCCUGCCUGAAGGAGACUUAAAAGGCGAACUAUAGAGUUCGGGCUAAGUAUGUAGAUACCAUUGUGGAAUAUUUUCGGACGCGGGUUCGACUCCCGCCGCCUCCACCA
rnacentral:tmRNA from 1 species